GGUUAAGCGACUAAGCGUACACGGUGGAUGCCCUGGCAGUCAGAGGCGAUGAAGGACGUGCUAAUCUGCGAUAAGCGUCGGUAAGGUGAUAUGAACCGUUAUAACCGGCGAUUUCCGAAUGGGGAAACCCAGUGUGAUUCGUCACACUAUCAUUAACUGAAUCCAUAGGUUAAUGAGGCGAACCGGGGGAACUGAAACAUCUAAGUACCCCGAGGAAAAGAAAUCAACCGAGAUUCCCCCAGUAGCGGCGAGCGAACGGGGAGGAGCCCAGAGCCUGAAUCAGUGUGUGUGUUAGUGGAAGCGUCUGGAAAGGCGUGCGAUACAGGGUGACAGCCCCGUACACAAAAAUGCACAUACUGUGAGCUCGAUGAGUAGGGCGGGACACGUGGUAUCCUGUCUGAAUAUGGGGGGACCAUCCUCCAAGGCUAAAUACUCCUGACUGACCGAUAGUGAACCAGUACCGUGAGGGAAAGGCGAAAAGAACCCCGGCGAGGGGAGUGAAAAAGAACCUGAAACCGUGUACGUACAAGCAGUGGGAGCCUCUUAAUGGGGUGACUGCGUACCUUUUGUAUAAUGGGUCAGCGACUUAUAUUCUGUAGCAAGGUUAACCGAAUAGGGGAGCCGAAGGGAAACCGAGUCUUAACUGGGCGUUAAGUUGCAGGGUAUAGACCCGAAACCCGGUGAUCUAGCCAUGGGCAGGUUGAAGGUUGGGUAACACUAACUGGAGGACCGAACCGACUAAUGUUGAAAAAUUAGCGGAUGACUUGUGGCUGGGGGUGAAAGGCCAAUCAAACCGGGAGAUAGCUGGUUCUCCCCGAAAGCUAUUUAGGUAGCGCCUCGUGAAUUCAUCUCCGGGGGUAGAGCACUGUUUCGGCAAGGGGGUCAUCCCGACUUACCAACCCGAUGCAAACUGCGAAUACCGGAGAAUGUUAUCACGGGAGACACACGGCGGGUGCUAACGUCCGUCGUGAAGAGGGAAACAACCCAGACCGCCAGCUAAGGUCCCAAAGUCAUGGUUAAGUGGGAAACGAUGUGGGAAGGCCCAGACAGCCAGGAUGUUGGCUUAGAAGCAGCCAUCAUUUAAAGAAAGCGUAAUAGCUCACUGGUCGAGUCGGCCUGCGCGGAAGAUGUAACGGGGCUAAACCAUGCACCGAAGCUGCGGCAGCGACACUAUGUGUUGUUGGGUAGGGGAGCGUUCUGUAAGCCUGUGAAGGUGUACUGUGAGGUAUGCUGGAGGUAUCAGAAGUGCGAAUGCUGACAUAAGUAACGAUAAAGCGGGUGAAAAGCCCGCUCGCCGGAAGACCAAGGGUUCCUGUCCAACGUUAAUCGGGGCAGGGUGAGUCGACCCCUAAGGCGAGGCCGAAAGGCGUAGUCGAUGGGAAACAGGUUAAUAUUCCUGUACUUGGUGUUACUGCGAAGGGGGGACGGAGAAGGCUAUGUUGGCCGGGCGACGGUUGUCCCGGUUUAAGCGUGUAGGCUGGUUUUCCAGGCAAAUCCGGAAAAUCAAGGCUGAGGCGUGAUGACGAGGCACUACGGUGCUGAAGCAACAAAUGCCCUGCUUCCAGGAAAAGCCUCUAAGCAUCAGGUAACAUCAAAUCGUACCCCAAACCGACACAGGUGGUCAGGUAGAGAAUACCAAGGCGCUUGAGAGAACUCGGGUGAAGGAACUAGGCAAAAUGGUGCCGUAACUUCGGGAGAAGGCACGCUGAUAUGUAGGUGAAGUCCCUCGCGGAUGGAGCUGAAAUCAGUCGAAGAUACCAGCUGGCUGCAACUGUUUAUUAAAAACACAGCACUGUGCAAACACGAAAGUGGACGUAUACGGUGUGACGCCUGCCCGGUGCCGGAAGGUUAAUUGAUGGGGUUAGCGGUAACGCGAAGCUCUUGAUCGAAGCCCCGGUAAACGGCGGCCGUAACUAUAACGGUCCUAAGGUAGCGAAAUUCCUUGUCGGGUAAGUUCCGACCUGCACGAAUGGCGUAAUGAUGGCCAGGCUGUCUCCACCCGAGACUCAGUGAAAUUGAACUCGCUGUGAAGAUGCAGUGUACCCGCGGCAAGACGGAAAGACCCCGUGAACCUUUACUAUAGCUUGACACUGAACAUUGAGCCUUGAUGUGUAGGAUAGGUGGGAGGCUUUGAAGUGUGGACGCCAGUCUGCAUGGAGCCGGCCUUGAAAUACCACCCUUUAAUGUUUGAUGUUCUAACGUUGGCCCCUGACCGGGGUUGCGGACAGUGUCUGGUGGGUAGUUUGACUGGGGCGGUCUCCUCCUAAAGAGUAACGGAGGAGCACGAAGGUUGGCUAAUCCUGGUCGGACAUCAGGAGGUUAGUGCAAUGGCAUAAGCCAGCUUGACUGCGAGCGUGACGGCGCGAGCAGGUGCGAAAGCAGGUCAUAGUGAUCCGGUGGUUCUGAAUGGAAGGGCCAUCGCUCAACGGAUAAAAGGUACUCCGGGGAUAACAGGCUGAUACCGCCCAAGAGUUCAUAUCGACGGCGGUGUUUGGCACCUCGAUGUCGGCUCAUCACAUCCUGGGGCUGAAGUAGGUCCCAAGGGUAUGGCUGUUCGCCAUUUAAAGUGGUACGCGAGCUGGGUUUAGAACGUCGUGAGACAGUUCGGUCCCUAUCUGCCGUGGGCGCUGGAGAACUGAGGGGGGCUGCUCCUAGUACGAGAGGACCGGAGUGGACGCAUCACUGGUGUUCGGGUUGUCAUGCCAAUGGCACUGCCCGGUAGCUAAAUGCGGAAGAGAUAAGUGCUGAAAGCAUCUAAGCACGAAACUUGCCCCGAGAUGAGUUCUCCCUGACUCCUUGAGAGUCCUGAAGGAACGUUGAAGACGACGACGUUGAUAGGCCGGGUGUGUAAGCGCAGCGAUGCGUUGAGCUAACCGGUACUAAUGAACCGUGAGG
rnacentral:rRNA from 1 species